UAGGGAAUCUUCGGCAAUGGGGGCAACCCUGACCGAGCAACGCCGCGUGAGUGAAGAAGGUUUUCGGAUCGUAAAGCUCUGUUGUAAGAGAAGAACGUGUGUGAGAGUGGAAAGUUCACACAGUGACGGUAACUUACCAGAAAGGGACGGCUAACUACGUGCCAGCAGCCGCGGUAAUACGUAGGUCCCGAGCGUUGUCCGGAUUUAUUGGGCGUAAAGCGAGCGCAGGCGGUUUAAUAAGUCUGAAGUUAAAGGCUGUGGCUCAACCAUAGUUCGCUUUGGAAACUGUCAAACUUGAGUGCAGAAGGGGAGAGUGGAAUUCCAUGUGUAGCGGUGAAAUGCGUAGAUAUAUGGAGGAACACCGGUGGCGAAAGCGGCUCUCUGGUCUGUAACUGACGCUGAGGCUCGAAAGCGUGGGGAGCAAACAGGAUUAGAUACCCUGGUAGUCCACGCCGUAAACGAUGAGUGCUAGGUGUUAGGCCCUUUCCGGGGCUUAGUGCCGCAGCUAACGCAUUAAGCACUCCGCCUGGGGAGUACGACCGCAAGGUUG
rnacentral:rRNA from 1 species